ensembl:lncRNA
AUGUCUACCGUACUUUCCUUUAAAGCCAAUUCUGCCCAAGGGACUGGAGGAGGAGGUGAUGGAGCGCAUGAGUUUUCAGCCAGGUUAGCUUGUCAGCCCAGUUGGUGGCAAAUAUCUCAGGAGCUCUGGAUCCUGAAUUUCUGCAUCUCCUUAGUGGUACAAGGAACUUGUUGGAUGGCCCUGGAUUAGAUCGCAUGGAGACAUACAUCCUCAACUUGAUUUCAAUAACUAUCACAAAUUGCACAGCCAUUAUGUGAAUUGAUUUCAUAUUUCACCUGUGCAUGUUACCGAGGUUUGUCCUCAUGGAUGACAUCGUUUCCAUAGUAACGUAAUGUGUUUCAAAUGUUGGUGGAAAAGUGGAGACUUACAAAGACCAAUUAGAAACACUGUGCAUAAAUGAGUAUAUUAAUAACUGAAGUCACAGCUGUGAAAGGCUUUUUAGAAGCUACAGAAGAAAUACUUUGUCUGGAAGACAGGACAAAAAGCUGGUGUUUAAGGAACCUGGAUUCAAAACUGUACCAGUCAUUGGAAUAUCCUAUAGGUCCAGCUUUUUGCACUAUAAACAAGCAACAAAAAAAGAGUUAAUCAAAUAAUUAACUUUUAAUUACUUGUGGGUUAUUCAAGCUCAGUGUGUCUCUUCCAUCCCUAACUUGUCUGCCUUUGGCUAUUUCAUUGUUCAUUAAGUCACUUGUGGGAGAUGGAUGGAAAAGAAUCUGGAGUUCAACUUUUUGUACUUCCCUGCUUCUAGUAUUUACAAACAAAAAGAAGAGUUGUUGGGGGAGGGAAAAAGGUUGAAACAAAUAACUAAAAUAAGUCAUUUGGUUGGAUUCUCUGUGAUUUCACUUACUCUUGCUAUAACAAUACCCCAUUACUAUGGAUAAUUGCAAAUUGACAGUACUCGCCAACUGCCUUGGGGAGCAUUUCUGUGAUUAAUUUCAUGAUAGCAUUUGUAACUCACUGGAAGAAAGGUGUUACAGAAAGAUAAGGUAUUACUAUUCAAAGAUAUGAAAUGAGACAGGGAAGAAGUGGAAUUUGAUUGUGGAAUACAGUAUAAAUCUCAAAGCCUGAUGGCUUCUACAAUGUUACAAGUUGUAGAGUAUAACUCAUGGUUACUAUAAUGUCCCGAAAGAUAGAAAACUUUCUUCUCCCAAUGGCUUUGGGUUUGGCCCAGAUUUUUUUCAGCUGUGAAUGCUAGAUGUGAGGUGAAAGCUCAGGUUAUUAGGAUCUUUACUAGAAUAAUGAUAUUAUAAGAAAGGGGUGUGUGCCCCUGGGAAGAGAGAGAAAGAUUUUUUUUUUAAUGGUGAUGGUGCCUCAGGACAACUUGUAUGACUCUCCUUUCUACCCUGUUGACAGACACACUGAAUUCAGGCACAGGGGUAUUGAUCUCAUUCUGACAUGGGAUUCCACCAGGUCACAUCUUUUUUGCCUCAGAGAAAAUUCACAUUUUUUAUUGUGAGGCAAAAGUACUGGUACAGUCUAGGCUAGUAAGAGGACAACGUUCCAAUUUAUAGCCUGUGGCCUAGUCAACCUGUUACUAAAAUCUGGUGGGUUCAGACAAUGCUAAUCUGCAGUAUUUCAAGAAGUAGAAAUAUGUAUCAAAUUGGCAUCUCUCUUUGCAUUUUCUAGAGGAUGUGAACUUUUUUUUCUUCACAUUAGUACAUUUAGAAGUGUUUUAUUUACCUGCCUGCUUACUUUAUUGGGCAGAAGACAGAAAUUUGGAUGCCAAAUAGCCGCGUUGUAUUGUCUUCAUAUGUCAAACUUUGGCCUGGCAGUAUUUAAUCAGAUGUACUUCUUGUCAGUGGCCACAUAGUGAAUCCCUGUCUCAUGCCAACCUUUAAGUCUUUAGAGCUAUCAUUUCCAGGCAAUCUCUGUUACUUUUAAUGAGUUCAGAAAAGAGUCAAGUUAAAAUUAUUUCCCCUGAGUCAGGGUUGGCUUUAUGUGUCUCCAUUAGAUUUCCUUUCUAGAUAACAAAUGAUCAAUAAUCUGCUAUGCAAAAAGGCCUGAAUGAUCUGAGAGUCUGUUUUGGAGGUUUCUAAUAACAUCUGACUUUAGCAAUGUUUACCAAUGAAACACAUUCUCUGGCUCUGAAACACAAACUAUACCAUCAGAGAUUUAGAACUAGAAUGGACCUUAAAAGGCAAUAAGCCCAACCCCUUCAUUUUGUGGAAAUAGAAAUUGAAGUUGAGAUGGAUUAUGUGAUUUGUCUAGAGUCACAUAACUCUUAAGUAUCUGAGACUUGAGCCUCAAAUAGGUCCCGAAUGCCACCUAGGAGCUUUACAAAAAUGCUGUUAGAAAAAAGAUGUAUCUUCAGACUAGAGGUUAGCUAGGAUUAAAAGCAGGCAUAUUUGACUUAAGAAAAAACACCUUUAAUCAGGUAAAAGAACAUGUGCUUAGGUUCAAAGGAAAAUUAAAACUCUGUCAGGUCUACAUUGGAAGUAGUGGACCUCAGGUGUGGAGGCAACUGAAGCAAUAAUAAUAAUAUUUUUGUUUUCAUACCUAUGAUUUUUUAUUUAGUUUGUUAAAUGAGUUUUCUUAGCGAGUUACAUUAUUUAAGUUAAUGUUUUACUUAAACAUUUCAAUACUUGCUAAGUGUUACAUUUGGAACCCAGAGAACAUGUUCAUAUUUUGUUGCAAACACAUACUAGUUUUCUGACUUUGGGCAAGUCAACCUGUUAGAGCUUGGGUUUUCUUUUCUAUAAAAUAGAUAUAAUAAUAUGUAUACUGCUUUACUCAGAGUAGUUUUGAGGAAAUCUUUUAUUAAAAAAAGAGCACUCUGUGAAUAUAAUUUAUUAUAAAUAACACCAAUAACAAAACUUAAAAGGAUUUGAGAUCUUGUGAAUCUCCCCUCCCCUCCCCAUCAGUAUAGAUUUCAG